CCUACGGGGGGCAGCAGUGGGGAUUUUUGGACAAUGGGGGCAACCCUGAUCCAGCCAUUCCGCGUGAGUGAAGAAGGCCUUCGGGUUGUAAAGCUCUUUCGGCCGGGAAGAAAUCGCAUCUCCUAAUACGGGGUGUGGAUGACGGUACCGGAAGAAGAAGCACCGGCUAACUACGUGCCAGCAGCCGCGGUAAUACGUAGGGUGCGAGCGGUAAUCGGGAGUACUGGGGCUAAAGAGUAAGCCAGCGGCGAAAUACCCGGGCUUAACCUGGGAACUGCGUUUGUGACUGGUGGGCUUGAGUGCGGCAGAGGGGGGUGGAAUUCCACGUGUAGCAGUGAAAUGCGUAGAGAUGUGGAGGAACACCGAUGGCGAAGGCAGCCCCCUGGGUCGACACUGACGCUCAUGCACGAAAGCGUGGGGAGCAAACAGGAUUAGAUACCCGAGUAGUC
rnacentral:rRNA from 1 species